rnacentral:rRNA from 1 species
CCUACGGGCGGCUGCAGUAAGGAAUAUUGGUCAAUGGACGAAAGUCUGAACCAGCCAUGCCGCGUGAAGGAUGAAGGUCCUCUGGAUUGUAAACUUCUUUUAUCUGGGACGAAAAAAGGGAAUUCUUUCUCACUUGACGGUACCAGAAGAAUAAGCACCGGCUAACUCCGUGCCAGCAGCCGCGGUAAUACGGAGGGUGCAAGCGUUACCCGGAUUCACGGGGGCGAAGGUGGGCGUAGGUGUCAGUGUAGAAAUCGCCGGGCUUAACCCUGAAACUGCCAUUGAUACUAUCUGUCUUGAAUACUCUGGAGGUAAGCGGAAUAUGUCAUGUAGCGGUGAAAUGCUUAGAUAUGACAUAGAACACCGAUUGCGAAGGCAGCUUACUACGGAGUCAUUGACACUGAGGCACGAAAGCGUGGGGAUCAAACAGGAUUAGAUACCCUUGUAGUC